CUUCUCCAGCUUUCCAAAUUGAAUUCUGUAAAAAUGUGGGUACUUUUCAUGACCAUGGAAAACAGCUUGCCGUGAUUUACUUUUAAAAUAGUCUUUUACAUAUUUUGAAAUCACUUGGCACACUAAUCUGAGAAUCUUCAGUUUGGGGGAUGUUUUGUUCUCCAAGGUGCCUAAUGGCAGUUCUAACCCACGAGUCCACAGUUAAGGGAAAGUUGCCUGUGACUCUGAAAUCCCAGAGAAAACUUUUUUCUAAUCACAUGAAAAGGAAGGUCAAGGGGAAAAAAGGUUUAACACUUUAGUCUUUGGAAAAUUUGAUCAGCCUACAAAAUCCCUACCAGUUUUGCAUUUUCCAGGCUGCCAUGGCAGUGACAUGCCUGAUGCUAUAACUUAAAACUGUUUUAGGAGUUUCCGUCAUGACACAGGGGCAACAAACCUGACUAGUAUCCAUGAGGACGUGGGCUUUGAUCCCUGGCUCUACUCAGUGGGUUAAGGAUCCAGUGUUGACGUGAGCCGUGGUGUAGGUCGCAGACGUGGCUCAGAUCCCACGUUGCUGUGGCUGUGGUAUUGGCUGGCAGUUGUAGCUCUGAUUCAAGCCCUAGCCUGGUAAUUUCCACAUGCUGCAGGUGUGACCAUAAAAAGACAGAGGCAGAAACAAAAAACUGUUUUAACAUCCUUCUCUAAAGGUAUGAUGUUAAUUCAAAUUCAAACUUUCCCUCUCCCACUUUCAUGCUUGCUCUCCCACUUUCUUUCUUGCUUUGUACUGCCCUAUGCUACUGUGAUGAAUCGGAUACAAAAGGAUAGAAUUUUCCACCACAUCCCUCAAGUCCUACCCUAGACUAAAUAGCUCAACACAGAGCCUUCUAACAACCUUGAAGAAUCUUCUCCAGACAGAUCUAGUCAUAUCCUCCUAAGUAUCCUACAGUACGUGUUUGUCUAUUGAUAACAGUACUUAACACAACAGAAAUAUCUCUCCACACUGGAUUAUAAACUCCUUGAAGAACAUGAUUCUUCUCUGCAUUCUCAGGGCCCAGCGCAGUCCCUGCAAUACAGGUAAAGUCCUUAUUUAAUUGAGUUUACAAGGCUCCAUUGAAGUCAAAGUCAUCAUUGGAUACGUCUAUUUUACGAAAACUCAUCCAGGUGCUGAAAAAUAAAGACCACCCUAAGACCAUGUUUAUAUAUGAUAUUCCAUCUGUGUGAUGAUUUUCUCUAAAGUUACAGAAAGGGUCACAGAUCUAUAGCAUGAAGCUUAUCAUCAUCCUUGGGAUUCAUAAAAAUUUUUCAGGGAAGAGCUGAUGUCAAGAUCCUUCCCUCUAUGCAGGCCAGAAGGAGUGGUGCAAUAUUUUUAAAGAUCCCUGCAACUCUGAGAGCUACAAUUAGUAAAAGGAUGGCUAGAGCAUGUUAAGGGCCUUCUGAGUUCUUUUUUUUUUCUCUAUGUCAUCAAGAAAGGCAAGAAUCAAAAGGAAUCCAACUAAUCUUUGCCUUGAGUGCUUAUCUCCAUGCCCAUGAAAUUUUCUCAGUCACAUAUAUUAGUGAUACCUGAAAAGGGCUUAUUAUUUUAGAAUUGGAUGUGCCUUGUCUUAAUAUGUUAAGGCCUCAUUCAGUGAAAAUGUAUCAUUUACUAUUUGCGGUCACAACGAUAGAUGCCGGGAUUGCAGCAAUCACUCAUGUUUUCCUGCUCAAAAUCCAAUUUUCUUCCUUAUUAGUUUUGUUCACGGUAAUGUACUGGCCCGAAAGGCUUAGCUUCCUGGAGUCUCUCAGGUUGGAGUUGGCAGAGCAACACCGUCCCAGACAAUAAAAAGUAAACCAAGAGUUUCUGGGAGAUCAUCACCUGAUGCGUGUAUGGAGGACAGAUCUCUGUUUCUUGCAGCGGAAUGCAUUUCUGACCACAACAAGGCAAACCCAAGUGGAAGUGCCGCAGUUAUCUGCCAGAGGAAUGACAGGGCUUAAAAGUGGACGUUUCAUAUCCUGAGCCUUUUAUCUCUCGACCAACCUGAACUCUUCUCCGUGGGCGGAUGAAUGAGAAGAAUUGAGGAAAUACACCUUCCCCUGUUUUAGGGAAGGAAGGGGAUUAUGGGCCCCCAUGAUUACCAUCAGGCCUGAGAUACAGAGUGGGUGUUUGUUGUAAGGCAGCAUGUGUGCAAAUGAAUCCAUUUGAGGGGGUGUUUGGGGAACGGGGGAAGAAGUGAAGUUCUGGAGGUCCCGUUGUGGCUCAGUGGUUAACGAAUCCGACUAGGAACCAUGAGGUUGCGGGUUCGAAUCCUGGCCUUGCUCAGUGGGUUAAGGAUCUGGUGUUGCCGUGAGCUGUGGUGUAGGUUGCAGACGCAGCUGGGGUCCAGCAUGGCUGUGGCUCUUGUAUAGGCCAGCGGCUACAGCUCCGAUUUGACCCCUAGUCUGGGAACCUCCAGCAACGGCCCUCAAAAGGCAAAAAGACAAAGAAAAAAAAA
ensembl:lncRNA